AUUGAACGCUGGCGGCAUGCCUUACACAUGCAAGUCGAACGGCAGCACGGGAGCAAUCCUGGUGGCGAGUGGCGAACGGGUGAGUAAUGCAUCGGAACGUACCCGGAAGUGGGGGAUAACGUAGCGAAAGUUACGCUAAUACCGCAUAUUCUGUGAGCAGGAAAGCGGGGGAUCUUCGGACCUUGUGCUUUCGGAGCGGCCGAUGUCGGAUUAGCUAGUUGGUGGGGUAAAGGCCUACCAAGGCGACGAUCCGUAGCAGGUCUGAGAGGAUGAUCUGCCACACUGGGACUGAGACACGGCCCAGACUCCUACGGGAGGCAGCAGUGGGGAAUUUUGGACAAUGGGCGCAAGCCUGAUCCAGCCAUGCCGCGUGAGUGAAGAAGGCCUUCGGGUUGUAAAGCUCUUUCGAGAGGGAAGAACCUUUUUCUGUUAAACAGACAGGAAGACUGACGGUACCUUUCAAGGAAGCACCGGCUAACUCCGUGCCAGCAGCCGCCGUAACAC
rnacentral:rRNA from 1 species